CCCCCCCCUUUUGUAUUGGGCGUGCUGUCAUUGUGUAUAGGUGAAUCACACAAAGCACCCCUCGGCCGGGCCGGUGAGAAGUUUAUAAUAGCAUGGCUGGGGGUGUCGAGCUCUUCGUAAGAGUCGCUUUCUUGUAUGCAAGCCUGUUUCUGUGGGUAACGGCAGCGGAUCAGCCAGUCGAUGCAAUCGUGUCCGAGUGUCAGGACCGCUACUUCUGCGUGUCUGUGGACCGCGGCUUUGCAGGACAAGACUACAGUUUUAACGUCAUUGGCGAGCAGGAGACCCAGAGAGUCGACGCUCCCUACGCAGCGCAAUGCGGAUUCACCUACAGCACUUUGACCCUCGCCGGUCGCUUGAUCUUCCGAGCGUCGUUUUUCGCUUGCAAUGUGAAGAAUGUGGACGAUCAGACGUUUACCCUGAGCUACCAGCUCGUGACGCGGGAUGAGUCUGGCAGGGAGACGGUCUUCCCUUCUGCCAUCACCUGCAGCCUGGUUCUGCCCUGGAAGCCCCGUGAGGUGGUCUGUGAGGAGAACUACAUGGAGGUUUCGGUGAGAAGGAAUGUUCCUCUGAUCGACCAAGAGGACCCGAUUAUGCUACAAGACGCUACACUUGGUUUUCAAGGCCCUGGUGAUGCUACAGCCACCUGGCAAAUCUCAUUCCGGAAGCUGGGGAUACCAGAACAGAUUAUGAAUGUCACCUAUGCCAGGAGCCUUGGUUACGUGGUGGACUCGACCUCUUCCCGAGCAGUCUUCAGAAGUGCCUACAACAAGAGCAAAACGGAGAUCCUUAAGGUGGAUGGGGUCACAGUAGAAGCUAUUGAUGCAACAAUCUUCUUCCAGCAGAAAUGGAUGCUGAUAUUAAUAGAUGUCUCUGCUGCUUGUACUAAAGGCAAGUAG
rnacentral:lncRNA from 1 species